rnacentral:rRNA from 1 species
GGCAGGCCUAAACAUGCAAGUCGAGGGGCAGCACGAUCUUCGGAUUGGUGGCGACCGGCGCACGGGUGCGUAACGCGUAUGCAACCUACCCACAACUGGGGAAUAGCCCGGAGAAAUCCGGAUUAAUACCCCAUAAUGCAGGGGUACCUCCUGGUACUAUUUGCUAAAGAUUUAUCGGUUGUGGAUGGGCAUGCGUCUGAUUAGUUUGUUGGUGAGGUAACGGCUCACCAAGACCACGAUCAGUAGGGGGUCUGAGAGGAUGAUCCCCCACACUGGCACUGAGAUACGGGCCAGACUCCUACGGGAGGCAGCAGUAGGGAAUAUUGGGCAAUGGGCGCAAGCCUGAUCCAGCAAUGCCGCGUGUGUGAAGAAGGCCUGCGGGUUGUAAAGCACUUUUAUCGGGAAAGAAAAACCCAGGGUUAAUACCCCUGGCAUUGACGGUACCCGAGGAAUAAGCACCGGCUAACUCCGUGCCAGCAGCCGCGGUAAUACGGAGGGUGCAAGCGUUAAUCGGAAUUACUGGGCGUAAAGCGAGUGUAGGCGGCUGCGUAUGUCGGAUGUGAAAGCCCUGGGCUCAACCUGGGAAUUGCAUUCGAAACUGCGUAGCUAGAGUCUGAUAGAGGGAAGUGGAAUUCCGGGUGUAGCGGUGAAAUGCGUAAAUAUC